rnacentral:lncRNA from 1 species
UUUCUCGUUUUCCCCACCGAAUCAACUAGGCACCCACACCUCCGAUCCAAAUCACCCCGUGCCAAUCCCCGUCGAGCCUCCCACAGUCACACCUCGUCCUCGAGCUCCACCUCCCGACCAGCCUCAUGCAGCCCCAACACUGGUGUUCCAUGGAGCCUCUCCCCAUCCUUCCCGACCAGACCGGCCCUCUCCCUGCUCCCUUCCUCCUCCUUCCUUCGGUUUCCUUCCCCG